AGUGCAAUGGCUGGGUCAUAUGGUAAAAGUGUGUUCCGUUUUGUAAGAAACCACCAAACUCUUUUCCAAAGUGGCUAUACCAUUUUGUAUUCCCACUAGCAAA
rnacentral:pre_miRNA from 1 species